rnacentral:tRNA from 1 species
GGGAGUUUGGCUUAAUGGUAGAGCACUUGCCUCACAUGCAUGAGGCCCUGGGUUCUACCUCCAGAACCA